AUUGAACGCUGGCGGCAUGCUUUACACAUGCAAGUCGAACGGCAGCGCGGGGGCAACCCUGGCGGCGAGUGGCGAACGGGUGAGUAAUGUAUCGGAACGUAUCCUGUAAUGGGGGAUAACCAGUCGAAAGAUUGGGUAAUACCGCAUACGCACGAGAGUGGAAAGUAGGGGAUCGCAAGACCUUACGUUAUAGGAGCGGCCGAUAUCUGAUUAGCUAGUUGGUGGGGUAAAGGCCUACCAAGGCGACGAUCAGUAGCUGGUCUGAGAGGACGACCAGCCACACUGGGACUGAGACACGGCCCAGACUCCUACGGGAGGCAGCAGUGGGGAAUUUGGACAAUGGGCGAAAGCCUGAUCCAGCCAUGCCGCGUGCAGGAAGAAGGCCUUCGGGUUGUAAACUGCUUUAGUCUAGGAAAAAAGGGGUGCGAGGUUAAUACCCUCGUGCUUUGAUGGUACUGGAAGAAUAAGCACCGGCUAACUACGUG
rnacentral:rRNA from 1 species